rnacentral:rRNA from 1 species
UACGUAGGUGGCAAGCGUUGUCCGGAAUUAUUGGGCGUAAAGAGCUCGUAGGCGGUUUGUCGCGUCGGCUGUGAAAACUCGGGGCUCAACCCCGAGCCUGCAGUCGAUACGGGCAAACUAGAGUGUGGUAGGGGAGACUGGAAUUCCUGGUGUAGCGGUGAAAUGCGCAGAUAUCAGGAGGAACACCGGCGGCGAAGGCGGGUCUCUGGGCCAUAACUGACGCUGAGGAGCGAAAGCGUGGGGAGCGAACAGG